rnacentral:rRNA from 1 species
UGGGGAAUAUUGGACAAUGGGCGCAAGCCUGAUCCAGCCAUGCCGCGUGAGCGAUGAAGGCCUUAGGGUUGUAAAGCUCUUUUAGCGGGGAAGAUAAUGACGGUACCCGCAGAAAAAGCCCCGGCUAACUUCGUGCCAGCAGCCGCGGUAAUACGAAGGGGGCUAGCGUUGCUCGGAAUUACUGGGCGUAAAGCGCACGUAGGCGGACUCUUAAGUCGGUGGUGAAAUCCUGGAGCUCAACUCCAGAACUGCCUUCGAUACUGGGAGUCUUGAGUUCGGGAGAGGUGAGUGGAACUGCGAGUGUAGAGGUGAAAUUCGUAGAUAUUCGCAAGAACACCAGUGGCGAAGGCGGCUCACUGGCCCGAUACUGACGCUGAGGUGCGAAAGCGUGGGGAGCAAACA